GACGAACGCUGGCGGCGUGCCUAACACAUGCAAGUCGAACGAUGAAGGAGGAGCUUGCUCCUCUGGAUUAGUGGCGAACGGGUGAGUAACACGUGAGCAAUCUGCCCUUGACUCUGGGAUAAGCGCUGGAAACGGCGUCUAAUACCGGAUACGACCCUCGGAGGCAUCCCCUGUGGGUGGAAAGAACUUCGGUCAAGGAUGAGCUCGCGGCCUAUCAGCUUGUUGGUGAGGUAAUGGCCCACCAAGGCGACGACGGGUAGCCGGCCUGAGAGGGUGACCGGCCACACUGGGACUGAGACACGGCCCAGACUCCUACGGGAGGCAGCAGUGGGGAAUAUUGCACAAUGGGCGCAAGCCUGAUGCAGCAACGCCGCGUGAGGGACGACGGCCUUCGGGUUGUAACCUCUUUUAGCAGGGAAGAAGCGAGAGUGACGGUACCUGCAGAAAAAGCACCGGCUAACUACGUGCCAGCAGCCGCCGUAAUAC
rnacentral:rRNA from 1 species